rnacentral:pre_miRNA from 1 species
GUAAUACUCCCUCUGUUCGGAAUUACUUGUCAUCAAAAUGGAUGUAUCUAGAUUCUAGAACUAAAAUACAUCUAGAUACAUCCAUUUCAAUGACAAGUAUUUCCGAACGGAGGGAGUACCAC